rnacentral:tRNA from 1 species
GCGGAAAUGCUGGAAUUGGCAGACAGGCAUGACUAAGGAUCAUGUGACCAUAGGUCGUGAGGGUUCAAGUCCCUUUUUCCGCA